GACGAACGCUGGCGGCGUGCUUAACACAUGCAAGUCGAGCGGUAAGGCCCUUUCGGGGGUACACGAGCGGCGAACGGGUGAGUAACACGUGGGUGACCUGCCCUCAGCUCUGGGAUAAGCCUGGGAAACCGGGUCUAAUACUGGAUAUGACUCCAUGACGCAUGUUGUGGGGUGGAAAGCCUUGUGCGGCUGAGGAUGGGCCCGCGGCCUAUCAGCUUGUUGGUGGGGUGAUGGCCUACCAAGGCGACGACGGGUAGCCGGCCUGAGAGGGCGACCGGCCACACUGGGACUGAGACACGGCCCAGACCC
rnacentral:rRNA from 1 species